rnacentral:rRNA from 1 species
ACGUGGAUAAUCUGCCCUUAGGUGGAGGAUAACCUCGGGAAACUGAGAAUAAUACUCCAUAGAUCUAGGAUGCUGGAAUGCACUUAGGUUAAAAGUUCCGACGCCUAAGGAUGAGUCUGCGGACUAUCAGGUAGUAGUCAGGGUAAAGGCCUGACUAGCCUACAACGGAUACGGGUUGUGAGAGCAAUAACCCGGAGACGAUAUCUGAGACACGAUAUCGGGCCCUACGGGGCGCAGCAGGCGCGAAACCUUCACAAUGUGCGAAAGCACGAUGAGGGAAUCCCAAGUGCUUGCUCGUAAGAGUAAGCUGUUUUUAUGUUUAAAAAGCAUAGAGAGUAAGGGCUGGGUAAGACGGGUGCCAGCCGCCGCGGUAGUACCUGCAGCUCAAGUGGUGACCACUAUUAUUGGGCCUAAAACGUUCGUAGCCGGUUUGGUAAAUGCCUGGGUAAAUCGUGUAGCUUAACUAUACGAAUUCCGGGUAGACUGU